CAGUGAAUAAUAGGAGAACAUGCGAUUAUUGUAAAAAUUGUCUGUAUACUGAUCCAUUAUUACUAUAAUCAUUUUUAUGAUGUGUUAUUAACAACUGGAGAGUGUACAUGCAGCAAUUAAUCCCGUAUCACAUCCGGUCCAGUAAUUGCACGUUGUCAUUGACAGUAUCAUCAAAUACAAGAAUGCAUUCUAGCUGACCAGUUUACGGAAUGCUACUAUGACAACCCCAACCACAACCAUGUAUGGAAAAAGUGCACUCAAUAGAGAAUGUGUAUGAACAUUCAUCUUCAGUUUGGACGACUAAAAACAAACAUCGUACACAACAGCUUAAUUUAUUGCCGUUACUAAAAAAGGAAUUGAUACAGAAAUAGCCAUAUCAACUAAUGAAAAGACAAGCAGUGGUCAUAUUAGCUAAUUAUACCAAAAUAUUUGCUGGUGAAAAACCUUAAUUGCAAAUGAGCCAAAUCAGCAGAAAAAUUGAUCUUUUGCGAUCUAACUAUUUGCGUUCUGGCAAGGAUCGUGUGCAGCAGGUUUUGUGAUUUUAUUGUUGUGAUUAAUGGGAUGCAGUUAAAGCAUAUUAACUAUAGCCUCUAUCCCAGGCCGCACUUAUUCUUAUGAGGUCAUUCCUGUACCACACUUUAGCAUGCAAUAAUAAUUAUUGCAAGUAUAACAACAAUGUUAGCUUUAAUUUACUAUACCCUUGUGUCAACAAAGUGCAUGUAUUCCCAUUUGAGUACAUGUACUUAAAUAAGCAUGAACACCUCCCACUUCCCUAUAAGGCAGCACUUAAAAAGUUACUUCACAACAAAUGACAGCUACUCAGCAAAUGCCAGAGUAAAAGCAAAAACAUGGCGAGAGGAAAGUUACUUCACAACAACGAUCGACUGCUGCUCAGCAAAUGCCAGAGUGAAAGCAAAAACAUGUGCAGUAAGUGUGACAGUGAUGUUGGUUAUUAUGUCAGAGGGAAGAGGGAAACUCAGCACAGUCAACGGGUAUUGUAUGAUCUCGGUGAUGGGACCUGGCAGAGCAGCUGAGUAUAUUCGGUAAUGAGUGAAGUUGCGGCAGUUAGGCACCUGCAAAAUGGAGCAUUAAUACUAUAAUGGUGAAGUUCCAGUUACCACAUCAAUGAGAGUCACUAUUUUCAUCAACACAUCUUCAUUCUGGCUGAUGAGUGGGGCAAUGCUAUCUAUCACCUGUACGUGGAAAAACACAUGCAGAGCUGAGUGCAAAAUAUCAAUAUACAAAAUGUACUGCAGUAUACCUGUUAUACUCGUAGGAAAAACCCAUGCAGGGACUGCAGGUUCACUGGAUCUCUUUCUUCUAUUCCUGACUCACUAAUUGGAGUCAUAAUGAAGAGGAGGAAGUGCAACCAUCUCAUUGGUGCCCAGAGCAGUAAGCGAGAUGUCCACACGAUAGGUAACAUUAUUCAGAGUGAAGUUAUUCGUCACAGAGACAGCAAGGUGGGUUUCACUAUUCACCACUUCAAUAGAUACACGCUCUGAAAAAAGGCCUCAUUAAAUUAAGGCAACCGUGUCUAUAGGUGUACUCUCUACAAAUAAUUAUAAUCAACUCACCAACUACUAUCAAUGUUGCAUUCCUUGAGAACACUACACUACUCACUGAAAUUGCUGCACACUGAUUGACACUGUUGUUGAACUGUAAACUGGCUGGGAUGGUCAGCACUGAUCAUGAGGGACGACCUGAAAUACCUCCAGCUACUCUGAUUUCAGAUGAACUGUUAGGGCUUGUAGACUCAAUGCCAUCCACAAACCAAGGGUGAGCUAGUGCUCCAGGAGACAGGCACUUAAACUCUGCCAAUAAUCCCUCGGCUCGUACCACUGACUCAGGCUCAAUUGUAAACUGUUGGGCUGUGUGAUCAGUAUAUACACACUAUAGACUAUAAGGUAUUAGGCAGACAGAAAGUGCCUAUAAUUAUACUGUACAUCAUGAUCACUACCUUAGAUAGGGGUAAAUAUAGUCUUCUUAUUAAGUGUAAAAAUGAUAAUUAUAAACAAAUUUCUGUGUUACUUUCAGUUGUCCAUUUAGGCACAAUAGAUCUAUUUUGAUAUUAUACGAUCUAUUUUGAUAUUAUACGAUCUAUCGUCUUUCUUCUAAUUGCAGCGACACAAUUGUGGUUUUACAGUGCAUGGCGCGCACACAAAUAGCUAGUUUGGCACUUAUACUUAUUGGAGUGAUGCUAGUGUAAUUAGACGUUAGAAUGUAGAGUGAUAGUAGCCGUGCAACAAGGUUAUAAUGAGUUAAAUGUAUGAAUUAUAAUUUAGGGAUUAUUGAUUUUAGGCCGUUUUAUUUCUUUCUAAUAAUUACAUAUUAUAUAAGCCCCAGAAAAAUAUAAUUCCAUUGCCGCUCAAUUGGUGGCUGGCGCGCUUCUUAAUUAGGGUGGUACUGUAAUUAGAAGAAAGACGGUAUUGUAACGUAUCUAUAUACACUGGCCACAAAUUGUGAGCCAUUGUCGUAUAGCGGGAAAAUUUUGCUGGUGUAAACUUUUGCUAUUAUUUUGGCCCUAGAGACCUCAGCAGAAAUUAAUGUUCAUGGGUUCUAAUAUUCGCGUUUCAAUCCAGGAAACCCAUGCAUGCACCCACCAAGAGCUUUGCAUGUGAAAUACCGGUGCGUGGGAGAUCAAGUCUCCCAGUUUAUUUUCGCGUAAACUUAUACAGGAAAUUUUUGCACCCCAUGAAAAUUUCCCGCUAUACGGUACCGUAAAUCCUCGAUUUAAGGCGACCCUUGGACAUUUCGCCCAUAUAGCACCAUAUAAUUUUUUGUGUACAUUAAAACUUUACUUUUGCCAAAACAUAAUUAUUUAAAAGUGUCGCUUUAAAUCGAGUUUUUACGGUACUAUCAUUACAGCCACAAUCUCUGAAUAAUUAUGGUAACAUUACAAACACAAGGUGAUGUUGGGACCUAAUUGCAGAAUAGCAAAAUAAUGCCUAGAGACCAUGCAUAUAGCUAACUUACCUUUUACAGCUACAGUGAAUGUCCCUGCAUGCAAUUGCAAGCAGAAGGAAUGUCAAACUAGUGUAAUCAUCCAUCAAAGCAUAUAGUAUAUAGAUCUAAGAAAAUACAGUCUAGUUAUAGUAUGAUGUAUAGACUCUAGUACAGCUACAAUGCAGCAUAAUAAUACAUAUAAUUAUGAACAAUGAUUAUGCAUGGUGUAGGGACUGGUAAAGAUCAAAAUAAUAUACGACACUAUAACUUUCAUUUUUCAAAUCGAUACAUUGUACACAAUCAUACAACUGUGUCUGAGAGGUGAAUAGUGCCAAAAUGUAGAGGUGCAUGCAUGGCGGUGUUUAGUUGGUAGUGGUGGCUUAACCUCAAAAGUGGCGGCAGCUUAGCCUAG